CCGCUGCCACAGGUGCUGCCCCCGGCUACUCUUCUCGUUCUGCGCCCACGUGACAGAUUUUCCAUUGGAGCUGCGGAGAGAAGAGAGACAAGAGGACCUUGAAAUGAGGACGCAGAUGGCCAGGAGGAAGGAUGCUAAACAUGAGCAUUCAAACCAUUUACUGAAUACCCCAUGUGCAAGGCACUGUGAUAAGGAGCACGUGGAUAACUCUAUGCCAUUGAUAAGUUCAUAGCCUGGAGUGGGAGGAUGAAAUUAAUUUUCCUGAAGAAUGACGUUAUAGAACCUCCUCAUAUUAUGCCCCCGGAGCUGUGUAGGGGGUCAGCAGGAGCUGAGAUGACCCCAUGAUUACGGAUCACAGCUCAUGAACCUGCACUGUGGGACAUACUCUGUGUUCUACUCAUGGUGACCCUGUGAGCAUAAGGCAGAGCGUGCUGUGUAUUAUUGUCCUCACCGGCCAGAGGCUCUGAGAGUUACGUGCUUUGUCUAAGACCCCAGCUUGGACGGGGCACAGCCAGGACUGGAAUCCACGUCCUUGCCGACCGCGCUCACUUCCCCAUACCGCGCUACUUCUGCUGACUUGGAACGUAAUCGGCGCUGACAGGCUACCUUGUUCUAUGAUGUCACCUCGACUGGUCUGUCUGUGUACCAAAAAAAAAGGUCACCUUUGGGGUCAUUUCCCUGGGUGUAAAAUCAGAAUCAAAAUAUGAAUAUUUUAUGCGGCAGAAGUACAUUCACAGUGACCUUAUUUAUGAACAACAACUAUAAAAUGAGAUACAUGGUUGAGAAAAUGAAUCUGCAGGAAGGCAAUAUUAGAGUGAAAAAAAGCUAUGAAAACCUGU